rnacentral:sRNA from 1 species
CAGCGUCUGGAUACGCUCCAUCGCCUCGCGGAUGUCAA